AUGUGCGUCCCUCCCGAAGCUGUGUACUCGGUCAAAGAGGACAACCUUCCCCGACAGAGGUGU
rnacentral:snRNA from 1 species